rnacentral:ncRNA from 1 species
CUACCGAAAGGCGCUGACGGGGCUUCAGGACAUCCGAGAGCCUGAGGAAACCGGUGUGAAUCCGGUGCGGUCCCGCCACUGUGACCGGGAAGGGCAUGCCCCGACCCGAGAGCCAGAUACUCACCGUCAGCGCUUCCUCACG